rnacentral:lncRNA from 1 species
ACCUAACAUAGCCUUCUUCCUCACAUAUCAUCACCCUAAAGAUAAGCAAUUUAUCAAUAAACCCAGAUGAAUGUAGCUCUCAAAUUGAAGUUAGAUAACGUAAAGAUAGUUUUUUUGUUUGUUGAAAUUGAUUGAAUUGAGAUAGAAAAUGAGAAAGGGAACUGACCAAGACUAACACCCUGAGUGAGGACCUGACGGAUCUGAAGAGAUUUGAUAGAAUCGACGGUGUCACCGACGAAACCCAUUGCUUUGUUUCUUGUGAUUCUGAGAGAGUGUUGUUGCUUCUUCUUGUUUAUGCUAACACCACCAAGUUGUUGUUGUUCUACCAGUUUUGUUUUGUUGAGUGAGUGACUCUUUUCUUUGCGUUUUGGUUUUCGCCGGUUAACAAAUAGACAGAGCCAAACACCAAACAAAUGCCAAUUUUUUACAACAAACAAACGUUUUUUAAUUUUUAAAUUUUAACUUUAAGUAUUUUUUUUAACUUAAAUGAUUUACCUAGUAAGCAUCCAUGUA